AUUGAACGCUGGCGGAAUGCUUUACACAUGCAAGUCGAACGGCAGCACGGGGCAACCUGGUGGCGAGUGGCGAACGGGUGAGUAAUACAUCGGAACGUGCCCAAUCGUGGGGGAUAACGUAGCGAAAGUUACGCUAAUACCGCAUACGAUCUACGGAUGAAAGCGGGGGAUCGCAAGACCUCGCGCGAAUGGAGCGGCCGAUGUCAGAUUAGGUAGUUGGUGGGGUAAAGGCUCACCAAGCCAACGAUCUGUAGCUGGUCUGAGAGGACGACCAGCCACACUGGAACUGAGACACGGUCCAGACUCCUACGGGAGGCAGCAGUGGGGAAUCUUGGACAAUGGGCGCAAGCCUGAUCCAGCCAUUCCGCGUGCAGGAUGAAGGCCUUCGGUUGUAAACUGCUUUGUACGGUAACGAAACGGUACUGCCCUAAUACGGCGGGCUAAUAGACGGUACCGUAAGAAUAAG
rnacentral:rRNA from 1 species